UACGAAGGAUUGGAAAUGCUUCAUAGUGUAACAGUAUGAUUUUGCUUUCACCACAGGUCUGUUUCUUAGGCCUGUGAUAAGGUACUACAAAACAGAA
rnacentral:snoRNA from 1 species